ACACGUCUACAUUAGAUACCCGGGUAGUCCCAGCCGUAAACUAUGCGCGUUAGGUGUAUCGGUGACCACGAGUCACCGAGGUGCCGAAGGGAAACCGUGAAACGUGCCGCCUGGGAAGUACGGUCGCAAGGCUGAAACUUAAAGGAAUUGGCGGGGGAGCACCACAACAGGUGGAGCCUGCGGUUUAAUUGGACUCAACGCCGGACAACUCACCGGGGACGACAGCAAUAUGUAGGCCAGGCUGAAGACCUUGCCUGAAUCGCUG
rnacentral:rRNA from 1 species